rnacentral:piRNA from 1 species
AAAUAUCAUUCUGAGGAGCUACAGU